AGAGUUUGAUCAUGGCUCAGAUUGAACGCUGGCGGCAGGCUUAACACAUGCAAGUCGAGCGGGGGAGAUUGCUUCGGUAAUUGACCUAGCGGCGGACGGGUGAGUAAUACUUAGGAAUCUGCCUAUUAAUGGGGGACAACAUCUCGAAAGGGAUGCUAAUACCGCAUACGCCCUACGGGGGAAAGCAGGGGAUCACUUGUGACCUUGCGUUAAUAGAUGAGCCUAAGUCGGAUUAGCUAGUUGGUGGGGUAAAGGCCUACCAAGGCGACGAUCUGUAGCGGGUCUGAGAGGAUGAUCCGCCACACUGGGACUGAGACACGGCCCAGACUCCUACGGGAGGCAGCAGUGGGGAAUAUUGGACAAUGGGGGGAACCCUGAUCCAGCCAUGCCGCGUGUGUGAAGAAGGCCUUAUGGUUGUAAAGCACUUUAAGCGAGGAGGAGGCUCCUGUAGUUAAUACCUACAGUGAGUGGACGUUACUCGCAGAAUAAGCACCGGCUAACUCUGUGCCAGCAGCCGCGGUAAUACAGAGGGUGCGAGCGUUAAUCGGAUUUACUGGGCGUAAAGCGUGCGUAGGCGGCUUUUUAAGUCGGAUGUGAAAUCCCCGAGCUUAACUUGGGAAUUGCAUUCGAUACUGGGAAGCUAGAGUAUGGGAGAGGAUGGUAGAAUUCCAGGUGUAGCGGUGAAAUGCGUAGAGAUCUGGAGGAAUACCGAUGGCGAAGGCAGCCAUC
rnacentral:rRNA from 1 species